GAUGAAGAACGUAGCAAAAUGCGAUAAGUAAUGUGAAUUGCAGAAUUCAGUGAAUCAUCGAAUCUUUGAACGCACCUUGCACCCUUUGGCAUUCUGAAGGGUAUGCUCGUUUGAGUGUCAUUGUACUCUCACACUCCCGAUCUUUGCAUUGGGAGCAGUGGACUUGGGUUUGCUGCUUCACCGUCGCUUACCUCAAAUAGGUUAGUGCAACUCUUGGUUGGACAUAGUACGGCGUGAUAAGUGUUCUUCGCCGGUGCCUCGCAAAGAGGGUGGCCGAUCGGGAUGUUGUGCUCCAAACCGUCUUCGGACAAUCUCUGACGACUUGACCUCAAAUCGAGUAAGACUACCCGCUGAACUUAAGCAUAUCAAUAAGCGGAGGA
rnacentral:misc_RNA from 1 species